UUAAGCGACUAAGCGUACACGGUGGAUGCCCUGGCAGUCAGAGGCGAUGAAGGACGUGCUAAUCUGCGAAAAGCGUCGGUAAGGUGAUAUGAACCGUUAUAACCGGCGAUGUCCGAAUGGGGAAACCCAGUGCAAUUCGUUGCACUAUCGUUAACUGAAUACAUAGGUUAACGAGGCGAACCGGGGGAACUGAAACAUCUAAGUACCCCGAGGAAAAGAAAUCAACCGAGAUUCCCCCAGUAGCGGCGAGCGAACGGGGAGCAGCCCAGAGUCUGAAUCAGCUUGUGUGUUAGUGGAACGGUCUGGAAAGUCCGACGGUACAGGGUGAUAGUCCCGUACACCAAAAUGCACAGGUUGUGAACUCGAAGAGUAGGGCGGGACACGUGGUAUCCUGUCUGAAUAUGGGGGGACCAUCCUCCAAGGCUAAAUACUCCUGACUGACCGAUAGUGAACCAGUACCGUGAGGGAAAGGCGAAAAGAACCCCGGCGAGGGGAGUGAAAAAGAACCUGAAACCGUGUACGUACAAGCAGUGGGAGCACCUUCGGGUGUGACUGCGUACCUUUUGUAUAAUGGGUCAGCGACUUAUAUUCUGUAGCAAGGUUAACCGUAUAGGGGAGCCGCAGGGAAACCGAGUCUUAACUGGGCGUUAAGUUGCAGGGUAUAGACCCGAAACCCGGUGAUCUAGCCAUGGGCAGGUUGAAGGUUGGGUAACACUAACUGGAGGACCGAACCGACUAAUGUUGAAAAAUUAGCGGAUGACUUGUGGCUGGGGGUGAAAGGCCAAUCAAACCGGGAGAUAGCUGGUUCUCCCCGAAAGCUAUUUAGGUAGCGCCUCGUGAACUCAUCUUCGGGGGUAGAGCACUGUUUCGGCUAGGGGGUCAUCCCGACUUACCAACCCGAUGCAAACUACGAAUACCGAAGAAUGUUAUCACGGGAGACACACGGCGGGUGCUAACGUCCGUCGUGAAGAGGGAAACAACCCAGACCGCCAGCUAAGGUCCCAAAGUCAUGGUUAAGUGGGAAACGAUGUGGGAAGGCACAGACAGCCAGGAUGUUGGCUUAGAAGCAGCCAUCAUUUAAAGAAAGCGUAAUAGCUCACUGGUCGAGUCGGCCUGCGCGGAAGAUGUAACGGGGCUAAACCAUGCACCGAAGCUGCGGCAGCGACACUAUGUGUUGUUGGGUAGGGGAGCGUUCUGUAAGCCUGCGAAGGUGACCUGUGAGGGUUGCUGGAGGUAUCAGAAGUGCGAAUGCUGACAUAAGUAACGAUAAAGCGGGUGAAAAGCCCGCUCGCCGGAAGACCAAGGGUUCCUGUCCAACGUUAAUCGGGGCAGGGUGAGUCGACCCCUAAGGCGAGGCCGAAAGGCGUAGUCGAUGGGAAACAGGUUAAUAUUCCUGUACUUGGUGUUACUGCGAAGGGGGGACGGAGAAGGCUAUGUUAGCCGGGCGACGGUUGUCCCGGUUUAAGCAUGUAGGCUGGUUAUCCAGGCAAAUCCGGAUAAUCAAGGCUGAGGUGUGAUGACGAGGCACUACGGUGCUGAAGUAACAAAUGCCCUGCUUCCAGGAAAAGCCUCUAAGCAUCAGGUAACAUCAAAUCGUACCCCAAACCGACACAGGUGGUCAGGUAGAGAAUACCAAGGCGCUUGAGAGAACUCGGGUGAAGGAACUAGGCAAAAUGGUGCCGUAACUUCGGGAGAAGGCACGCUGGUGUGUAGGUGAAGUCCCUGCGGAUGGAGCUGAGACCAGUCGAAGAUACCAGCUGGCUGCAACUGUUUAUUAAAAACACAGCACUGUGCAAACACGAAAGUGGACGUAUACGGUGUGACGCCUGCCCGGUGCCGGAAGGUUAAUUGAUGGGGUUAUCCGUAAGGAGAAGCUCUUGAUCGAAGCCCCGGUAAACGGCGGCCGUAACUAUAACGGUCCUAAGGUAGCGAAAUUCCUUGUCGGGUAAGUUCCGACCUGCACGAAUGGCGUAAUGAUGGCCAGGCUGUCUCCACCCGAGACUCAGUGAAAUUGAACUCGCUGUGAAGAUGCAGUGUACCCGCGGCAAGACGGAAAGACCCCGUGAACCUUUACUAUAGCUUGACACUGAACAUUGAGCCUUGAUGUGUAGGAUAGGUGGGAGGCUUUGAAGCGUGGACGCCAGUCUGCGUGGAGCCAACCUUGAAAUACCACCCUUUAAUGUUUGAUGUUCUAACGUUGGCCCCUGACCGGGGUUGCGGACAGUGUCUGGUGGGUAGUUUGACUGGGGCGGUCUCCUCCCAAAGCGUAACGGAGGAGCACGAAGGUUAGCUAAUCCUGGUCGGACAUCAGGAGGUUAGUGCAAUGGCAUAAGCUAGCUUGACUGCGAGCGUGACGGCGCGAGCAGGUGCGAAAGCAGGUCAUAGUGAUCCGGUGGUUCUGAAUGGAAGGGCCAUCGCUCAACGGAUAAAAGGUACUCCGGGGAUAACAGGCUGAUACCGCCCAAGAGUUCAUAUCGACGGCGGUGUUUGGCACCUCGAUGUCGGCUCAUCACAUCCUGGGGCUGAAGUAGGUCCCAAGGGUAUGGCUGUUCGCCAUUUAAAGUGGUACGCGAGCUGGGUUUAGAACGUCGUGAGACAGUUCGGUCCCUAUCUGCCGUGGGCGCUGGAGAAUUGAGGGGGGCUGCUCCUAGUACGAGAGGACCGGAGUGGACGCAUCACUGGUGUUCGGGUUGUCAUGCCAAUGGCACUGCCCGGUAGCUAAAUGCGGAAGAGAUAAGUGCUGAAAGCAUCUAAGCACGAAACUUGCCCCGAGAUGAGUUCUCCCUGAGACUUUAAGUCUCCUGAAGGAACGUU
rnacentral:rRNA from 1 species